rnacentral:misc_RNA from 1 species
CCACCCUCAGGCCCCGCCUGGUGUUGGGGACCUGCGCCUGCAGCCCCCCAAAGACAACGGCGGGCUCGCCCCGGCUCCGAGCGUAGUAAUACACGUCGCUCCGGGCGCCGGGCGGGCUCCUGCCGCAAAACCUACAGCAA